CGGCCGCGGUAUUUUGACCGUGCAAAGGUAGCGUAAUCAUUUGUCUUUUAAAUGGAGACCUGUAUGAAUGGCACAACGAGGGCUAAACUGUCUCCUUUCCCCAGUCAAUGAAAUUGAUCUCCCUGUGCAGAAGCAGGGAUAUUAUCAUAAGACGAGAAGACCCCAUGGAGCUUAAGACUUUAGCAGCCCAUGUAAAAAACUGGCCGCCCCCAAGUUAACAGUGUGGCCCCUGCUUAAUGUCUUUGGUUGGGGCGACCACGGGACAAGAGAAAACUCCCAUGAAGAAUAGGACAACCCCCCCUUUAAAAUAGAGCCCCAGCUCUGUUUUUCAGAAUAUCUGACUAUCAGGAUCCGGCAAGGCCGAUCAACGGAAUGAGUUACCCUGGGGAUAACAGCGCAAUCCUUUUUUAGAGCCCAUAUCGACAAAAGGGUUUACGACCUCGAUGUUGGAUCAGGACAUCCUAAUGGUGCAGCCGCUAUUA
rnacentral:rRNA from 1 species